UUUUGCAUAUCCAUUAGCGGAGGAUAAGAAACCAACAGGGAUUGCCCUAGUAACGGCGAGUGAAGCGGCAACAGCUCAAAUUUGAAAGCUGGCCUUCGGGUCCGCAUUGUAAUUUGUAGAGGAUGCUUUGGGUGAAACGCCAGUCUAAGUUCCUUGGAACAGGACGUCAUAGAGGGUGAGAAUCCCGUAUGUGACUGGAAAUGUUAACCUAUGUAAAGCUCCUUCGACGAGUCGAGUUGUUUGGGAAUGCAGCUCUAAAUGGGAGGUAAAUUUCUUCUAAAGCUAAAUAUUGGCGAGAGACCGAUAGCGCACAAGUAGAGUGAUCGAAAGAUGAAAAGCACUUUGGAAAGAGAGUUAAAAAGCACGUGAAAUUGUUGAAAGGGAAGCGCUUGCAAUCAGACUUGUUUAAACUGUUCGGCCGGUCUUCUGACCGGUUUACUCAGUUUGGACAGGCCAGCAUCAGUUUCGGCGGCCGGAUAAAGGCUCUGGGAAUGUGGCCUUCACUUCGGUGAAGGUGUUAUAGCCCAGGGUGUAAUACGGCCAGCCGGGACUGAGGUCCGCGCUCGGCUAGGAUGCUGACGUAUGCCCG
rnacentral:rRNA from 1 species